GUAGUUCAAAAAGAUUAUCAUUACUGCUUGAGCAAGCUUUCGUUCCCAAUUAUGCUCUAAUCUUUAACUAGGAAAAUAAUGAAGUUUUGCUGAAUCGUACACCGUGACUUACUUCAAUACAUCAAAAUUUUAUCUCACCUCACAUAUCGUAUCGGCACAGAGGAUCAUGUAAGCAGCCCCUAAUUGGGGAGAAUGUCUCUCAUUCCCAAACAUUUUCUAAAAAUUAAUUGGCUGAAAAACAUUUAAGCCAAAUGAAAAAGGAAUUAGGGUUUGGAUCUGUCUGAUUUUCCAUUCCUAACUUUGGUCCACUUAGUGGUCUCCACAUCGCCAUGCUUACCUCCGUUCGGAAGAUAGGCUACCUCUACAAAAGUUUUUACUGCAAACAUAUGUAAUAUAUAUAGAGCUCACUGGGACAAACGAACGAGCGAAUAUAUAAUUUGAAAAUGUUUUGGUGUCGUGACAAUGACUUUUGGUGUAACAAAAAAUAUUCGGUG